rnacentral:rRNA from 1 species
GACGAACCGUGCAAACGUUAUUCGGAAUCACUGGGCUUAAAGCGCGUGUAGGCGGGACGGCACGUCGGUCGCUGAAAGCCCCCGGCUCAACCGGGGAAUUGGCGCCGAUACGACCGUCCUCGAGGAACGUAGGGGGACCUGGAACUUCCGGUGGAGCGGUGAAAUGCGUUGAGAUCGGAAGGAACGCCCGUGGCGAAAGCGAGGUCCUGGACGUUUUCUGACGCUGAGACGCGAAAGCCAGGGUAGCGAACGGG